rnacentral:lncRNA from 1 species
UUUUCAUUGCUUAUGACUUACUAAGCUGUGAAAGCUUACGUGUGUAUGUUUGCUCUUUGUUUUAUAGAUUUUGAAAGUUGGUUACAAGCUCAGGGAUCGUCAGAGAAGUUUAUCACACUACCGACUAUUUUUGAUAUUUUACUAAGUUUGAAUUUGAACUUAUGGCAAGUAUAGUCUAGUUAAAAUGUUUGAUUUUGGGAUAUG